UACGAAGGGGGCGAGCGUUGUUCGGAUUUACUGGGCGUAAAGGGCGCGCAGGCGGCUCAUUUUGUCAGGCGUGAAAGCCCCGGGCUUAACCUGGGAACUGCGUUUGAGACGGAUGGGCUAGAGUUCGGGAGAGGAGAGUGGAAUUCCCAGUGUAGAGGUGAAAUUCGUAGAUAUUGGGAAGAACACCGGUGGCAGGAAGGCGGCUCUCUGGACCGAUACUGAGCGCAUGAGGC
rnacentral:rRNA from 1 species